rnacentral:tRNA from 1 species
GGGCCUUAGCUCAGCUGGGAGAGCGCCUGCUUUGCACGCAGGAGGUCAGCGGUUNNNCGAUGGUUCGAGUCCAUUUAGGCCCA